AACGAACGCUGGCGGCGUGCUUAAUACAUGCAAGUCGUGCGAGAAAGUUGCCUUCGGGCGAUGAGUAGAGCGGCGAACGGGUGAGUAACACGUAAGGAACCUGCCCCUGAAUCUGGAAUAACUUUGCCAACGCGGAGCUAAUACCGGAUGUGAUCUUGACAUCGCAUGGUGAUGAGAUCAAAGGCGACCUCUUCUUGAAAGUUGUCGUUCGGGGAUGGCCUUGCGGACCAUUAGCUAGUUGGCGGGGUAACGGCCCACCAAGGCUACGAUGGUUAGCCGACCUGAGAGGGUGAUCGGCCACAUUGGGACUGAGAUACGGCCCAGACUCCUACGGGAGGCAG
rnacentral:rRNA from 1 species